ACCAGGCUAGUACAAGAAGUACAGAGACUUUACACGUCUCAAGUGGUUUUCUCAAAACCGCCUGGUU
rnacentral:tRNA from 1 species